ensembl:lncRNA
AAUUAAGCGAGUUACAAGUCUGCAUCGUCAACACACAGUCUUUGUUUACUUCCGAUCCAAUAUGGCGACUUCGCCGACGCACGUCAAAGCGACAUGUUUGUAAAUUCGACGACAGCAGCCUACAAUUCCCGCGGUGAAUCUCGUGGCCCGCUUGUUUAUGACGACACACAACAUAUAAAUACCAUUCAUUCACGUGAUAGCGUUCUCUUGGAGUCGGUGCCAUCUUUUUGAGACACUCCUCCCAAACAUGAGAGGGAAGUGGAAAAAGAAGCGCAUGCGUAGGCUGAAGCGCAAAAGGAGAAAGAUGAGGCAGAGGUCCAAGUAAACUGCUUCCCUUCUGCUGCUGGAACCAACCCUCUUAGACCUUCCCACCGAACCUCCUAGACCUUCCCACGACCCCUCACCUUUUCCAGAAAUCCAAGCUGAGGCCUUUUGAAGGACUCCUACAUUCCUCAGAAGGAUACGGGCACCCUUGUUGGAUCUCCUGGCUCUUCUAUUUGUGAUGUGAAAGCUUCUCUUGGACAUUCUGGACUUCCGCCAGCUCAGCAAAGUUGCUGUUUUUGUGUGUUUCCUUGAAUAAAGAAAUUUGAUUUAGAAAAUGGAAGCGCUGUAUUCUAUUUCUACCACUACGAUGGUAUACAGAUUUUGUUGUUGAAUGCUCC